rnacentral:rRNA from 1 species
UACGGAGGGUGCGAGCGUUAAUCGGAAUUACUGGGCGUAAAGGGUGCGUAGGUUGUUGUAUAAGUUAUCUGUGAAAUCCCUGGGCUUAACCUGGGCAGGUCAGAUAAGACUGUAUGACUCGAGUAUAGGAGAGGGUAGUGGAAUUUCCGGUGUAGCGGUGAAAUGCGUAGAGAUCGGAAGGAACACCAGUGGCGAAGGCGGCUACCUGGCCUAAUACUGACACUGAGGCACGAAAGCGUGGGGAGCAAACAGGAUUAGAUACCCUGGUAGUCCACGCUGUAAACGAUGUCAACUAGCUGUUGGUCAUAUGAAUAUGAUUAGUGGCGAAGCUAACGCGAUAAGUUGACCGCCUGGGGAGUACGGUCGCAAGAUUAAA